GAGCUUGCUCCCUGAUGUUAGCGGCGGACGGGUGAGUAACACGUGGGUAACCUGCCUGUAAGACUGGGAUAACUCCGGGAAACCGGGGCUAAUACCGGAUGGUUGUUUGAACCGCAUGGUUCAAACAUAAAAGGUGGCUUCGGCUACCACUUACAGAUGGACCCGCGGCGCAUUAGCUAGUUGGUGAGGUAACGGCUCACCAAGGCGACGAUGCGUAGCCGACCUGAGAGGGUGAUCGGCCACACUGGGACUGAGACACGGCCCAGACUCCUACGGGAGGCAGCAGUAGGGAAUCUUCCGCAAUGGACGAAAGUCUGACGGAGCAACGCCGCGUGAGUGAUGAAGGUUUUCGGAUCGUAAAGCUCUGUUGUUAGGGAAGAACAAGUACCGUUCGAAUAGGGCGGUACCUUGACGGUACCUAACCAGAAAGCCACGGCUAACUACGUGCCAGCAGCCGCGGUAAUACGUAGGUGGCAAGCGUUGUCCGGAAUUAUUGGGCGUAAAGGGCUCGCAGGCGGUUUCUUAAGUCUGAUGUGAAAGCCCCCGGCUCAACCGGGGAGGGUCAUUGGAAACUGGGGAACUUGAGUGCAGAAGAGGAGAGUGGAAUUCCACGUGUAGCGGUGAAAUGCGUAGAGAUGUGGAGGAACACCAGUGGCGAAGGCGACUCUCUGGUCUGUAACUGACGCUGAGGAGCGAAAGCGUGGGGAGCGAACAGGAUUAGAUACCCUGGUAGUCCACGCCGUAAACGAUGAGUGCUAAGUGUUAGGGGGUUUCCGCCCCUU
rnacentral:rRNA from 1 species